UACGUAGGUGGCAAGCGUUAUCCGGAAUUAUUGGGCGUAAAGAGCGCGCAGGUGGUUGAUUAAGUCUGAUGUGAAAGCCCACGGCUUAACCGUGGAGGGUCAUUGGAAACUGGUCGACUUGAGUGCAGAAGAGGGAAGUGGAAUUCCAUGUGUAGCGGUGAAAUGCGUAGAGAUAUGGAGGAACACCAGUGGCGAAGGCGGCUCUCUGGGCCAGUACUGACGCUGAGGAGCGAAAGCGUGGGGAGCAAACAGGAUUAGAUA
rnacentral:rRNA from 1 species